ACCGGGCACGGUGGUGUGCCUGUAGUCCCAGCUAUUCAGGAGGCUGUGGUGGGAGGAUCGCUUGAGCCCAGGAGUUCUGGGCUGUAGUGUGCUAUUCUGAUCGGGUGUCUGCACUAAUUUCAGCAUCAAUAUGGUGAUCUCCAGGGAGGAGGAGACCACCAGGUUGCCUAAGGAGGGGUGAACCAUCCCAGGUCGGAAACGGAGCAGGUCAAAACUCCCGUGCUGAUCAGUAGUGGGAUUGCACCUGUGAAUAGCCACUGCACUCCAGUCUGGGCAACAUAGCGAGACACCGUCUCUU
ensembl:misc_RNA Metazoa_SRP Metazoan signal recognition particle RNA